GAUCAACUGUUUUUGGAAGUAUCUUAUUACAAACGAAAAUGCUUACAGAAUACAAGAUCAUGGAGUCACAUUAAAAUUGAUCCUUACAGCCAAAUUACAAACAAAGAUAGAUGCUUACAAAAAUAUAAGAUGCUGUGACUCCAACAUAGGGCUUUCGACCAAUAUACGUGAAGACUUUGAAAUACAUAGGAUGAACAAUACAAAGGUAGAAAUGCACAAUUACAAACCAAAUAAGGCCUUUUGUGAAUCUUCACCUUCUCCUGUGGAUGAUGGAUGGUUAACAUCGCCCGCCAGCACAGAGCCAUUUUAGCCACCAGAAGAAACCUUUUCUGGCCUGACAAUCUUUUCUGGCGUUGUCCACAAGGUCCUGAUGUUUCCCUUUGUAAGCCUUUGUCUCCACCUCUCUAGUAGGUUCCAUCUCGGUAUGCUUGUUGCGACUCUUCACUAUCUCCUAUGUAGUGUUUCUAUUGCCGCUCUUUACUUUUGGCUCCUUCCCCUUUUCACUAGGAUUUAGCUUUCCUUUAUAAUGAAUUUUGGCCGAUAUAUGGUGAACUAUCGUCCUAAGUAAAAAAGAGAUAAAGGAGAUGUCAAAUCAAAUAAAACGUUUAGCCGAUGUGUCAUAUAAAAAUCAUCAAAUUUUUAGACAUACACGUUCCAAAAACUUGGUAGAUGCAGUCGUUCCAAAAACUGGGUGGGCAUGUGUUGAUAAAAAAAUUUGGCACCUAGGGUAAUUUAGACAUACACGUGUUGACAGUAUAAUUUGUCUAGUUGAUUUGUUUGAUCAGAAAAAUCUGUUUGGCAAAUUGCUUAAGAAGCAGGUCCCGUCUGUGUCCAGUGAAGUUGUUUCAACAACAUGCGGAAGCAGCAUCAGAAAUGAUGAUCGUCAGCCGCAGCAAAUUUCGUCAGGCCAAACGUGUAUAUUUGUGCAGAGUAUUACAUGAUUAUGGAAGGAAAGAUCACGCAUGCAUGAAGGGAAAGAUCAGUCAUCAUGCAAUAUGAGGAGCCUCUUGAUUUGGCUCGGUGCUCUUGGCAUGGUACUCGGCCGGGAGGAGAGUCCAUGUAUGGAGCGUGCACAGUAUGCAGUUUGAUAUGACAUGGUGCUCAUGCAGAUGGAGAGCAGGAUUUCGUGCCUCUCGCUGGAGAACCAGACUGACGACAGAGGGUCCCUCGCACUACCUUUGGUUCGUAUCCAUGAUAGGGGCCAUCUGGAUUAGAUAUGAUGGUUGGUUUUUGUCCCCUAACAGGAUCGAAACGAAAGGAGGCAGGAUUAGAAGGACAGGGAGAUAUCAGAGACGCAGGGGAGAUGAUCAGCCAUCGAUCAGGCUCCUCACCUUGCCGGCCGGACCUCCUGGGGCAGCAGCUUCUUCUUGUCCGGCGAGCUGCUCCUUUGGCCUCUCUCCUUCCUCGGGGGAGCUUGAUGGGUUGGUGUUUCCCGGCGCUGCUAUCCGUCAGGGGAUCGCAGCAGCCCGGCGGCGGCGUCUCGGUGUUGAGGCGCUAGCUAUCCGUCGAGGGAUUACUGCAACCGGCGAUACGCUUCUGUAUCCUCCAGAUGCCGGCCGU
rnacentral:lncRNA from 1 species